GGGUGUCCAGCUUAUUUCAAAUGUUUAAAGACAGAUAAGCUUGGAUCGAUGUCCGAUAGAUACUUGUUCAUAGGGUACCCAAAGAAAACUAAAGGGUAUUACUUCUACCUCGCUGCAAAAUAAAAGAUGUUUGUUAGCAGCCGGACAAUCUUUUUGAAAAAAGAAGUUUCUUGGUGAAGGAGCUAAUACCUGUAAAAUUGAACUUGAUGAAA
rnacentral:lncRNA from 1 species